GUGUAGAGCUGUCAGGCCGGUCCGCGGGCGCGCCCGGCCCCGCGCCCCGCCGGCCGCCGCCUCCAUCCCCGCCCGCGGCCCGCGCUCCGAGCGCCCAGACCCGAGGCGGCCCGCACGUGCGCCCGCUCGCCGCCCGCCAGCCGACGAUCUGGGAGCAUGCCCGCGGGAGUCCGGCCGCUCGCCCGGGGCCAGCUGGCGGCGGCGGCGGCGCGUGGAGCCGCGGGGCGCAGCCGGCCGGGUUGGGGCCACCGGGCCGGAGUCUCCCGGGCCGCGUGAGGCGGCGGCGGCCCAGCGCGGCCGAAGAGGACGGAGCAGCGCCGUGCAGAGCGGGGAUGCUGGCCAGGCUGCCCUGGUGCCCGAUACCCUUCUGUGGGCCUCGAGAGUAGGACGUCAGCGCUGCCUUCCCACACAGACCCGCAGCUCAGCCUGGCUGCAUUCGCGUUCUGCAUCCUCUGACCUGACGCAGGAGCCGUCCAUCCGCAGGAGGUCUGCCUCUAAGAAGGGGGUCCCAGUGGCGAGAGCAUCUGCUCUCAGCCCUGCCUCUCCCCAAAGCAGAGGACUUUUGCUGUCCUGAGCAGCUGGCAGGGAGGGGCACUUCCUGCCAUUGUCGCCACUGCCCGCCAAGGCCUCCGCAAGGUCACUACUGUCUCCUGAGGAGGAAGAGAGCUGAUGACAAGGGCAGGGACCUCAGACCACAGCCGCAACCGACACACUGUUCGUCCACACUGCAAGGAAGCAUCUGCUUAUGGAAUGACCCCCCACACCUCCCGGGGACCAGACCAGGUAUUCACAGACUUGGAGAAAGUCUUUUCCUUGAAGUGGGGAUGUCCACCACGGGAAGCCUUCCACUGACGAAGAGGGGAGCGCUCCGCAGACCCAGCAGUUAGACCGAUUGUGGAAUGCAGCAUAGGAGUGAGCCCAGGACAGGAAGACAUUGUCUUGAGGAUCCAACGGCAGACUCAGGAUAUUUGGAGUCAGCAGAAGUAGAC
ensembl:lncRNA